GAGGAAGGACAUAGCCCCUGCCCUCAGGGAUUUGCAGUCCAGGGGAAGAGAUGUAGAUGAGUGAACAGACAACUCAAGUAUAGGAUGAUGGUUUCAGGGUGGUGGGACGAUGGCAUGAGGGAUGACAGUAAUGACAGAACCACAUGUCUCCUGUGCAAUUUCCUCUCUCAGAAUCAAGACACCAGACAGCAGUUCUGACAGGAAGAGCACACAGUAUUCACUCAUUCAACAAAUAUUUAGUGAGCACGGAUCACAUGCCUAUCAUUGGAAUGAGAAGGCAGGAGGAGUUUCAAAGCAGAUGCUGCUGCCCCAGGAAGUCAUCAUGGAUCCAAUUUCCUUCUCAUGCUCUCCUACACCUGGAUCAUUGCUUCAUGGUCACAGGAUGCCUGCUCCACCUCCAGGCCUCAAGUUCAUGUUCUAGACAGGAAGAAGGAGAGAGGUGCAAGGGCAAAAGGCAUAGACCAGGAUGGGUGAAAAGGAACACCUCAUAAAGCUGUGAUACAGACUGGUGUGGCUGCCAAGGCCCUUGCUCCAUGACCUGCAUUAAAGUCUUCAACAUGAUAAGGACUAUUCAGAAUUUUGAACUGGCUCCAUGAACACACCAUCUAUGACAGUCUCCAGAGAAGCCCAGCUAGCGUUUCCCUUGUUAUCUGAGGACCGAGUGAACAUUCACUGAAGACCCGAUGCCUAUCUGUAUCCACAACCGCAUU